UACGAAGGGGGCUAGCGUUGUUCGGAAUUACUGGGCGUAAAGGGCUCGUAGGCGGCCAACUAAGUCAGACGUGAAAUCCCUCGGCUUAACCGGGGAACUGCGUCUGAUACUGGAUGGCUAGAGAUUGGGAGAGGGAUGCGGAAUUCCAGGUGUAGCGGUGAAAUGCGUAGAUAUCUGGAGGAACACCGGUGGCGAAGGCGGCAUCCUGGACCAACACUGACGCUGAGGAGCGAAAGCCAGGGGAGCAAACGGG
rnacentral:rRNA from 1 species